AGUAGGGUAUGUAGGUUGAUUUUAGUAUAGUUAACUAUAUAGUGUAUGAUAAUAUCCUAAGAUUAUUUUAAUAGGUAUUCGGGUCUUAAUUUAUAUGGUAGUCUUGAUGGUUAUUUGUAUAUAUUAUGUAGGAAUCCCAAGGGACUUCGAGGAGGCGUCGUGAUUGGUAUUUCGAUAGUCUUUCGGAUUUGAAGACUCGGGAUUAGGUGGAAUUGAGGAUUUGCCAAAUUCUUAGAACGAAGCAAAGAAUAUAAUUCAGGAUUGUUAUUAUCUUCUAGGUGAAGGUUAAAUAAAGUCUUGAUGUAGUUGAUAAAUUGAGAGUGGUGGUUGCGAGAUUUCUUUUCUUUAGGUUGAGUUUUAUUUCAAGUUGAGGAAUAUUUGUUCAUAUCAAGUUAAUUGGAUUAAUGUUGACUUUUGGGAUUAUAGAGAAUAUUUUUUGUUGGUUUUAGUUCAA